AACGAACGCUGGCGGCAUGCCUAACACAUGCAAGUCGAACGAGACCUUCGGGUCUAGUGGCGCACGGGUGCGUAACGCGUGGGAAUCUGCCCUUGGUUCGGAAUAACAGUUAGAAAUGACUGCUAAUACCGGAUAAUGUCUUCGGACCAAAGAUUUAUCGCCCAGGGAUGAGCCCGCGUAGGAUUAGCUAGUUGGUGAGGUAAAGGCUCACCAAGGCGACGAUCCUUAGCUGGUCUGAGAGGAUGAUCAGCCACACUGGGACUGAGACACGGCCCAGACUCCUACGGGAGGCAGCAGUGGGGAAUAUUGGACAAUGGGCGAAAGCCUGAUCCAGCAAUGCCGCGUGAGUGAUGAAGGCCUUAGGGUUGUAAAGCUCUUUUACCCGGGAUGAUAAUGACAGUACCGGGAGAAUAAGCCCCGGCUAACUCCGUGCCAGCAGCCGCGGU
rnacentral:rRNA from 1 species